rnacentral:rRNA from 1 species
UACGGAGGAUGCGAGCGUUAUCCGGAUUUAUUGGGUUUAAAGGGUGCGUAGGCGGAUCGUUAAGUCAGUGGUCAAAUUGAGGGGCUCAACCCCUUCCCGCCAUUGAAACUGGCGAUCUUGAGUGGAAGAGAAGUAUGCGGAAUGCGUGGUGUAGCGGUGAAAUGCAUAGAUAUCACGCAGAACCCCGAUUGCGAAGGCAGCAUGCCGGCUUCCUACUGACGCUGAAGCACGAAAGCGUGGGGAUCGAACAGA